UUUUUUUUUUUUGGUAGAAAUCCUUAUCUCAAGAUCAUUAGGAUAUUUUCUUAUAUUAUCUUCCAGAAGGUUGUUUUGCCUUCCACAUUUAGAUCUGCAAUUAGAGUGGACAUAAGUCCAGGUUUAUGCCUCUUGUCCCAGCAUCUCUUCCAGUUAGCGUCUCCUUUUACUCUCAGAAGUGUUUACAAAAUUUCCCUGAGCUUUCUUCUUGGAAAACAGCAGCGCUUCUUUGCUAAUUCUAAUUCCGGCCAUUGUAGAUGACUGGCUUUUGGAGUGGUGUGGAGAAGUAUAAGAGCAUGUCCUCAGAGAGCUGGACGUGGGCCCAGCUUUCCCACCCGCGGACUGGGCGGCAUCCAUGCUCGGUGCCUCGUCCGCGUGGGGGCCCUGGGACCAGCGGAGCGGAGCGGAGCCGAGGCCAGGAACUGCUUCAUCGGUUCCUCCCCAGGGCAGAUCCUGCUCUGGCAGUCUCUAGCCGGGCUCUGUGCUGGACAGAGAGCCGAUGGAAUCUGUAGGAGGUUAUAAUAAACCUCAUGUGUGUAAAUGGUUGUGAACACAAUGAAAGACAUUUUGGGUCCAGUUGGUUUGUUCGACAAAUAAUGUUUCUGGAGUCAAAAUAUAUAGCAUGUUCCUUUUACAUAUAACACAGGUUAUGGUUUGGUUUUGAACAUACUGUUUGAGUUUACUGCCAGUAAAAGCUCUUCCAGCUCCUGAAGCCGUCACGUGGUGCAGAGUAAUGCACAAAGCAAAUGGAAGGUGGGUCCGAUGAGAAGCGUCUGGCCCACUAGAUAAAUACAGAGACCCACAUUCCUGGUGAGAAGCGUCUGGCCCACUAGAUAAAUAGAGACCCACAUGCCUGCUGGUGUAUGAAUAUUAGGUAUGGGUGCAAGUUUCAUUUUACUUCCGGGAGCAUAGUUUACGUUCAGCAAAUUAACCUGGGCUUUCUUUUAUCUCCUUCUUACCUGUCUGUAUACUUUGCCAUUGACCUGACUAGUUUAUCUUCGUUGGCCCCUAAUAACCAUCUUUACACGCACAACUCAAAUGAACCCCGAUGGUGUACAGUCUUUCCUGCUUUCUCACGUCUCUCUCUCCCCCACUGAAUGAACCUUUUCAGCUCCAGGCAAAAAGGCCUCUUGGCCAGUUUGAAUCCUUAACAGUGCUCAUGUAGAACCGAACACAUAGCAAGCGCUCCAUGAAUGUUUGUCGCAUAAACGCUUGCCUCGGCGUUUGUCACAUAAACGUUUGCAGGACUUUGCGUAACCAGGCGGAGGUCACAUAGCUGAGUUUCUCAGGCAUAACCGACUCUCACUGACUUGCAGGUUUAGCCCAUUGUUUGCGUUUUAGGUUUUAGAGAUUUAUAUAGUUUUGGUCUUAGAACAAAAGCAUCGCUUCUUCACUUGAAGGCAUCGUUGCCUGUAUUUAGAUUUGCUAAUCUGAACGUGCACAUGAAUGUCGAGUUGCACUUUUCUACAGACAGUUUCCGCAAGUUUUCCUCUGACAAAGAUGGAGGGAAGGGAGACAAACACCUCAUUUCUGGCUGCUUCAUCGCCCAGCUUAAGUAUUACAAGGGGAAACAGAAGUGUUGAAAUUAAUUACUUAGCAGAGUGUGAGGAAGGAGCUCCGAACAGUGUGGGCCACCCCGGGAGCGGGCACUACUGGCCGAGGGGCGAGGGGGGUGGCUGCAGCUGAGGAGCAAGGAGCACCAGGCUCACCACUGGACGUUGCCUCACUGGCUUUACGAAGCGCGGGAUGAUGGUAAGAAUUAAAGUAAAAAAUACCAUGAACCACCUGUGAUUGAGUUUACUGCCAGCGAGUGGUAGUUUCCACAGACAAAGGCAAAAAUGAACAGUGGUGAGCAAAGGUAAACCCCAUCAGAAAGAGGCCAGGAGCGACCUAACCACCUCGUUAAACACACGGAGGGCCUGCUGGAGGCGGCGUUAGGAGAGGCCAGGGCAGCCGUACACAUUGCCGGUUCUGCCAACCUCCGCCCUUUGGCUCAAGCCCUUCUGAUGUUUUCCAGUGCGGGAUGUUAUUUGGGGAUCGAGGGAAGCAUCUUUGUUCCUUUAAUGAGGAUCGAGUACCUAUUAUGUGUUAGGCAGGCAUAAAGCCCCGGGAAGCCCCAUAUGAGUAAGAAAGUCAUUCCCUCAAAGAUCUUACAGGGCGGUCAGGGGGACAGAGGGGAAGAUGACUACAGUACAGCAUGCGAGGGGUUGGGGUGGAGCACCUACAAAAUACACGGGCACAGAGACCCAGCGCUCAGGAGGUUCCCUGUGAUCUAAGGCUGAGUGAGGGUGGCAGUGGAGGAAGGAAGGUGGGACGGACACACAGGACAGUGACGGCUGUGCAGGGGAAGCCUAGGGGUCUGCCGGAGUGGGGGAGGGCGCACAGCAGUGAGUUCUGCUGAGCUGGAGCUUAAACGUUCACGGGUGCUGCACAGAACUGAGACUACCAAGGGAGGCAGAGCCAGUGGCAGAAAAGCCAGCGUUCUCUCUUGUGGCCGGCGGGCGACAGGCAACUGUGGAGGUCCAGCCAGCCCAGCCUGGCCAGCUCAGCCACCCCUUUAUCCCGAACACCAGAGAUAUGUACAGUAAUGUCUGUCACUCCGAAAGCAGCCCUCUCUCCAUCAUUUGGAAAGGUGCUGGAUCCAGUGUUGUUUCUGAAGUGUUCCUGGAACUCUCACUGAGCAGUGAUGUAGGUGGCCAAGUGCCCAGACCCAGAUAAGCAGAGAUCAUAACCACGCCGUUGUAGCGUGCGCGUGCUCGGUGGGAGCCCGUGCCACCGUGAGUGCCAGGUGCGUACCUGGCCUUCGACCCACAGAGGCACGUGGUGGUGGCAGCGUUCCCGUUUUACAGACGAGAGCACGGGCUAGAGGUCGAGCGACUCACGUAGUAAGUGAUGGAGCUGGGGGUUGAACCCCCCGGGCCGGGCCUGGGAGAGAAGCGGCAAGGCUAGAACGGCAGAGAAACGAGACGUGAAGUUUAAAAUAAACAAGAAUGGGAACGAGGAUUGUCAGUUGUGGUGAGGGCGGAAAAGCACAGACCUCCUGACAGUGGCUGAAGAGUCAGCUCUGCAAGGGCUCAGAAAGGGGCCUGGCAGGGAGAGGAACAGGGACCCUCGGAAUGAAUUCAGGAAAACCGGCGUUGACCUCGGUGACAGCCCAUCAGCUCUGUAAGGACCAUGGAGAGCUCCUAGCUCAGUGCCUCUCUGCAUGUGGAAACUGAGGCCAGAGGGGGAGGUCCAAUGGCUCCGUAGUGCCACAGACAGCGGAAUCCAGGCCUCCCUACUUCCAGGCUAAUGUUUCUGCAGUCCAGCAGCCACUCGUCCUGCUUGCAGCACCCUCAUUUUCCUCCGAGGAGCCACCUCCUUUGCCUCACUGACCCCCCGUGGGUCUUGGUCAGCUCUGGCAGCUGUAAGAAAAAUACCACAGACUGGAUGACGUAAAAAAACAUUUCUCACGGUCCUGGAAGCCGGGAAGCCCAAGAUCAAGGUGCUGGCAGAUCUGAUGUCUGGCGACAGCCCACUUCCUAGCUUGUAGACAGCCACUCUCUUGCUGUACCCUCACAGGACAGGGGCUCCGGCGCGCUCAUACCUCUUGUAAUGGCAUUACUCUCAUCACGAGGGCUCCACCCUCACGACCUAAUUACCCCCCAAAUGCCCCAACUCCAGGUAGCAUCCCUCUGGGGAUUAGGGUUUCAACUAAAUGUGGGGAUUAGGGUUUCAACUAAACAUAGUCCAUAACAGCCACAUCUCCAGCCUCAGCCAGUCCACUAAUGCCGUUCCCCCCCCAGACAGGCUAGGGUCAGGGUUAGACAGGGGACUCCACAAAGCCAUCAGGGUGAAUUAGAGGCUUCUGCCUUUUCUCCAACUGGAGUUGGCCCACAGGGGUCUUCCUCAGUCAUCACCGUCAGGCAAGAAGCUGACCCGGGUCCUCGGGAGGGAGGGAACCUAGCCCAAGUGACACCGUUUCAGACUCUGUGACCACUGUGCCUGGCCUUUCAUCAGUCACGUCUUUUUUUUUUUUCUUUCUCCAUCCUGACUUUGGGAAUAACAACACCUGCCCUCUGGGUUGUUAGGGGGAUGAAGUGAGAAGGUGCGUGCACAGCCCUUACAUCAGUGCCUGGCACCCUGCGAGCACUCACAUAUUACGGGUGAGAAUGCAGGCUGGCCGACACCUGGAAUGCAGCCUUGUGAGACCCUGAGCAGAAGACCAGCUAAGCCACGCUGACUCCUCAACUACGGAAACUACAUGAGCUCAAACUGAGCGUUAAACAGAGCACCGGGAGCGCAGAUGUCCAGUUCGUGCCGGGUGCUCCUGGGACAGUUAGGGACCUCGGCACCAAGGAAAAGAGGACCUGCGUUGUGGCGUCGGAGCGGAGGACCUGGUUUUCCAGCACACAACCUCUGCUAUAAGACAGAGGACAGAGAUCAUGGGCAUCUCGAUGGAUUUCCAAGGAUCUCCGAGCAAAAAAAGCAAUUCGCACACAAAACAGAGUGCAAUUUCACAUGGGGACAAAGCCAACCCUAGUAGAUUAUAUGUAUACACGUGACCAGUGGGAAAAGAUGACAGGGCCCACUCUAAGCCCUUCACUGUGACACCUGUCGGGGGCAGGGGGACUGGCAUGUUUUACCUAGCGUAGAUGUCCAAUGUGCAGGGUGCCCAGCAGCACCCAGUGCUCAGAGGCAGCCGCCACAUACCACCCACGGGUGCUUACUCGGUGCCACCCACUGCCUCGUUUGCCUCCCACAAAUUCAGUGAAGUGGGUGCAACUAUCACCUCAUUUUAUGGAUGAGAAAACUGAGUCUCCAGUGGGCUCCUAGUGAGUAGUUCACGGAAAUGGAAGACUGACAGCCAGACGGCCUGGCCUCCUGGAGCCUGUGCGCCUGUGCGGGAAGACGUCGGGGAGCCCUCCCUACCCCGCCGACUCAAUAGCAGCCAGCUAAGGGUCCCAUGGGAACGUGCCAAGUGAGCGAUGUGGGGAAUGAGAGGAAAGAAAGACCGGCCCGUGUGAGGGGUGCUCCUCGCAGGGGUGCGACGCCUCAGAUGCUGCUCGGAAGGGCUUGGGUUUUAUAACGCGGGCCGUGGGGAGCCGCUGGAGGUUUGAAGCAGGCAGUGGAGUGGGGUGCUGGUGAGCAUGGCAGAGCACUGGCCCUUGAGGAU